UACGUAGGGUGCAAGCGUUAAUCGGAAUUACUGGGCGUAAAGCGUGCGCAGGCGGUCUUGCAAGACAGAUGUGAAAUCCCCGAGCUCAACUUGGGAGCUGCAUUUGUGACUGCAUGACUAGAGUACGGUAGAGGGGAAUGGAAUUCCGCAUGUAGCAGUGAAAUGCGUAGAUAUGCGGAGGAACACCGAUGGCGAAGGCAAUUCCCUGGACCUGUACUGACGCUCAUGCACGAAAGCGUGGGGAGCAAACAGG
rnacentral:rRNA from 1 species